rnacentral:lncRNA from 1 species
AUAAAUUUAGAUGUUCUGUGCUGGUGAUAUCUUGUUUCUUUUUCUGUUCAUGUUCUCAUGAUUUUGGCUCUUUUAAAACCUCAAACUGAGAAGACGAGUGCUAACAAUAUAUGAUUGAUGGCAAAAUCCAUCUUUCCAUUUAAAGGAUGAUCCCUUGAUCAGUAUGCUAUCAAAUUUUAUGAAGGCCCCCAUUUGAAUCUUAUGUUCCCCACUAUAACUUGAAAUAUUGCCUAACCCAGUUUUCUUUUUGCAGGAUGUUGAGCAGGCCUGCCUUAUUAUGAAACCUGGCGAUUUAGCGGUACCACACUGGCUGACCAAGAGGAGGAAACCCUCCCGUGUUGCUCCGCCUCCACUCUCCAUCCUCCGAUGCAUACUUGAUGGGAACAGUUAGCUCAUGUCUCUUAGAUAAUACUCCCUCCGUCCGAAUAAUGUAAGACGUUUUUGCAAGC